AUGAACGCUAGCUACAGGCUUAACACAUGCAAGUCGAGGGGCAGCAUCAUCAAAGCUUGCUUUGAUGGAUGGCGACCGGCGCACGGGUGAGUAACACGUAUCCAACCUGCCGACAACACUGGGAUAGCCUUUCGAAAGAAAGAUUAAUACCGGAUGGCAUAGUCUUCCCGCAUGGGAUGAUUAUUAAAGAAUUUCGGUUGUCGAUGGGGAUGCGUUCCAUUAGGCAGUUGGCGGGGUAACGGCCCACCAAACCUACGAUGGAUAGGGGUUCUGAGAGGAAGGUCCCCCACAUUGGAACUGAGACACGGUCCAAACUCCUACGGGAGGCAGCAGUGAGGAAUAUUGGUCAAUGGACGAGAGUCUGAACCAGCCAAGUAGCGUGAAGGAUGACUGCCCUAUGGGUUGUAAACUUCUUUUAUACGGGAAUAAAGUUAGCCACGUGUGGCUUUUUGUAUGUACCGUAUGAAUAAGGAUCGGCUAACUCCGUGCCAGCAGCCGCGGUAAUACGGAGGAUCCGAGCGUUAUCCGGAUUUAUUGGGUUUAAAGGGAGCGUAGGCGGGUUGUUAAGUCAGUUGUGAAAGUUUGCGGCUCAACCGUAAAAUUGCAGUUGAUACUGGCGACCUUGAGUGCAACAGAGGUAGGCGGAAUUCGUGGUGUAGCGGUGAAAUGCUUAGAUAUCACGAAGAACUCCGAUUGCGAAGGCAGCUUACUGGAUUGUAACUGACGCUGAUGCUCGAAAGUGUGGGUAUCAAACAGGAUUAGAUACCCUGGUAGUCCACACAGUAAACGAUGAAUACUCGCUGUUGGCGAUAUACAGUCAGCGGCCAAGCGAAAGCAUUAAGUAUUCCACCUGGGGAGUACGCCGGCAACGGUGAAACUCAAAGGAAUUGACGGGGGCCCGCACAAGCAGUGGAGUAUGUGGUUUAAUUCGACGCAACGCGAAGAACCUUACCAAGGCUUGACAUAUACAGGAAUAUAUAAGAGAUUAUAUAGCUCUUCGGAGUCUGUAUACAGGUGGUGCAUGGUUGUCGUCAGCUCGUGUCGUGAGAUGUUGGGUUAAGUCCCGCAACGAGCGCAACCCUUACGGGUAGUUACCAUCAGGUUAUGCUGGGGACUCUACCCGGACUGCCGUCGUAAGAUGUGAGGAAGGUGGGGAUGACGUCAAAUCAGCACGGCCCUUACGUCCGGGGCUACACACGUGUUACAAUGGGGGGUACAGAAGGCAGCUACACGGCGACGUGGUGCUAAUCCCGAAAGCCUCUCUCAGUUCGGAUUGGAGUCUGCAACCCGACUCCAUGAAGCUGGAUUCGCUAGUAAUCGCGCAUCAGCCACGGCGCGGUGAAUACGUUCCCGGGCCUUGUACACACCGCCCGUCAAGCCAUGAAAGCCGGGGGUACCUGAAGUACGUAACCGCGAGGAGCGUCCUAGGGUAAAACUGGUGAUUGGGGCU
rnacentral:rRNA from 1 species